UGCGUAGGUGGUCGGGUAAGUCUGAUGUGAAAUCUCUGGGCUCAACCCAGAAAUGGCAUUGGAUACUAUUCGGCUGGAGGGUUGGGGGGGGGUACGGUGGAAUUCUCGGUGUAGCAGUGAAAUGCGUAGAUAUCGAGAGGAACACCAGUGGCGAAGGCGAGUCCCUGGACAACUCCUGACACUAAGGCACGAAAGCUAGGGGAGCAAACA
rnacentral:rRNA from 1 species